AACCCUCAUCAUCAGUGACUGAAAACUUAAAUUACUAGUUAAUACUGAAGCAUUCAUCAUCUCAUCAGAGCGCAGAACAGCGAUGUCAAACAAAUGCGGAUCUCAACGCCACAGUAGCACACCAAUAAAAAUUCAAAGGAUGUGGUCUCCAAGCAGGUUACAUGAUGAAUGACCAAAUACAACGUUGUGGUCUAGUAUGUGUGUGCACAACCAUAUUUUUUGAGAGAUGUACAGCAGAGAUGUGUGAGUGUGUGUAGGCGCAUGCGUCUGUGGGGGAAACACUUUUUUUCUGGUCAUAUAUUCAGACGAAGCAGCCAUGCUAAUGAGGCCGGUUCCUCAUAUCAAAGCCUGUCUUUCUAUUUACUGAACUCUGUAACAGAGCGGCAGCAGAGUUGUCCAGCACAUUAAGAACACGAUCCAGUCACAAAACUGAACCGGGACAGAAUAUGCAUGGAGGGGGAUAUUUAAAGUUAUUAUUCCACUGGUGAAACCUCAUCACUGUGUGCAUUUUUCCAUGCAAAUCUAUAAGCUACGCCAUAAUCUACAAUGUCAGGGUCUAUAUUUCAGUUAAAAUUGUAAUUUCGCAAGGCUCAUGUCUGUGUCACUGCUGAUAAAACAAUGCAAGCAGAAACGCUGAGCGAAGGUUAAUGGUGUGUGACCAAUGAAAGGUUACAGGCCAGACAGAGCAGCGCUGCAUCAGAAGAGCCUUCGUGAUUAAAGCUUUUUUUUUUGCGGAGGGACGCUGGGUGCUGUUUUGACACAGUCAACCGAUGUCCGCUUUAGAGAAGAUAAGCUUUGGACUGAUUAGAGGGGCAAGAUGGGAUUUGUGAUACUUUGGGAUCUUAAUAAUCAGACUUAUCUUCAAAAUCAAACAUGACAGGUUUUCAAUCUCAGUGCAGCAGAACAUUAGUGUGGCGAUGUUGGUGAUGAUUAACUGCAGAUCACACACUGUGUACACGGGUCAGUGUGUUGAUGUGCGCAACGGGAUCAUUUGAAGUGGGCGGCUGGAAACAGUCAGCGGGCGUGGCCUGCACGAGUUCACAGACAGUUAUCUGACGUUUAAUGUAUGCGAUCACCACAAAAUAAAAAGCAGAUACACACUGUUCAAAAGUGUAAGAGUGUAGCUUCUAAUGACACUUCUCACGCCACAACAGCAUAUUUCAACAAGGUUUAUAAAAUAUCUAGAGAUGCCGUGUUCUCCGCUGUGUAUACAUUAAAAAGUUCAGGCCGACAGUUCAGUUACACUCAACUUUUGUGGAGCAUUCAUUUGUACAGAUUGCUGGCCGUGACAGAAAUCCAGAUAUUGCUCAUUGUGUCUGUCAGUUGUUCUGGUGCUGUCUGAGGGCAAACUGGAGAAUAUCAUGUUUUGCUUCUCUCAUUUGUCUAUAAUUGCAUGGUGAAACAGGUUUCAAAAUGACACUUAAAUGAAGGCUUAUUUUUCUCUCAUUUCGUGGUAAACUCUCCUUCUUUCUGCCUUAUUAAUGUCCCAGCUCAAUAAAGCUGGAUCAUAUUUGCAAAAUAUGCAAAAGCGUUCUUUGAUAGAUACUGGCAGAACGUGCUUUGUUUGUGAUUCUGACCUCAAAGUGUCAACUUGAGAUUACCUGGCAAUUAUCUCCUCUUCAAGAAGCACAGGAGCAACUAAUAAAAGACAGCCAACAUAAUCUGAAUUUGCAUGAUCGUCUGGAAGCUUUACUGUACAGUCGAAGAUAUACGACAGCUCAAAAAUUCUUUAAAUGUUUCCUUAAAAGAGCAGUGUGGAGGAUUUAGUGGCAUCUAGUGAUGAGGUUGCAUGUGCAUUGGAGAACUACGGUGGCCUUCAGGUUACUGGUGCCUUGAAAUAGGGUCAGGUUUACCGUGUUCAAGAGAAGAGUCCAUAUGAACGCCCCCUUCUUGUAUAUUCACGACCUCGCAAGUGGAAAGUUUUUUUGCAGUUGAG